UUGAUUGGCUCAGAGAUGCGGAAGUCAGGGGUUUUUAAUCUCCCGCCCACGUCAACACGAAGGCGAGUGAAGAAGACGACAGAAGAGACUCGGCCUUCCUCGCUUCAUGGCGGACCCCCACUUCCCUCCUCAACUCGCUUUAAGUUCCUGAUCGCCAAAUGAAUCAUAGAUCCAACCUCUUGCACCCCAGAGGGAGAGCGGUGAGCCGGCGUACAGUCCUGACCAAUCUGUGAGGGCCAGAGUGACGUCCAAUGGGACCUUGGCUGCACUCUUCUUCCCAGCAAGGCUAACCACCUCCUCAGCUUCCUGACAGUUCCAGCUUCGCCCUCUCUCCACUUUACCCCUCCUGCCCCUCCCCAAAUCUCUCGAGAGACCCCCCCUAUGGAGAAUACUGCUCAGAUCCAAAACCCCCCGCCAAAGCCCGCCCUAAUCCUCUCCAUCGAUCGCCCUGAGAAUUUCCUCCCUGGCGCAGCAGGCGCCGCUCCCCGCCAUCCACACUCCUCGACCCCCCCGAGCAGGCAGCUCUUUUCAUUUAGAGACAAAAUAGGUGCAGGCACAUUACCUGCGUCCACUCUCAUCUUCCUCCACGCUGGUUGAUGAGGUGGUUAUAGCGGGCGGCAUGUUGCUCUGCUGUUCUUUCAAUUCGCUUGGACAGGAGUCAAGCACGUCUCGCUGUAAACAGUUUUCUCUAGCGCAAGCAAUUUUGGAGCACAGGCUUCGUCGUCUAUGUUGUCUACGAGAACCCAAAUUCCUCCAAGCAGUUGUUUGGUAUUGACAAAUAUUGUGAUGGUAACCAAAAUAGGUGAAGUGUACCUGUUACUAAACGAUCAGUACUGGAAGACGACAAUCUCUCUAAGCAUGUGCAAGGACUACGUCACUUUCGGUCAACUUAUUUUAAGGUAGUUACAUUUGUGCACGCUGUCACUGUUACAAUGGUUUUCAUUUAAAGAGGUAAUAUUAUGGUUUUCUUUUAAACACUUCCUUGUAGGGUACACAUGUAAUAGUGGUUAUUUGGUUAAAAUCUUGCAUAGAGUAGGUUUCACAGAUCAUCUUCAAGUUACUUUCUGUCUCUUCAGGAUGCGCUGUUUAGUGAGCAGUCUUAUUUACGUGUAUCUACUUUGACUGCGUCUUUUCUCGUUCAGCCAUGUUGUAGUUUUAGCGCUUUUUUAUCAAGUCUACUGACCGAUAUGAGUCAGAACUAGUUUUAAUUUGCACAGCUGUUUUUCAUUUAGUUUUACUCAUUGUCUUUUGACGAAAAUGUGUUUAAGUCGACAAAUUUCUUCACUAUUUUAGUCGAUAUAAAGUAUUGCGCACAACGCAUCUUUGAAGUUGUCUUGAAAGCAAUUUUAAUUAAUAUUUUUGCAGAGCAUCUCAAAAACUAAAGUCACAACAAUAUUUCAAUAAGUACAUUUCACACUAAACCUGAUUGUGUGUUAUUGUUUUAACUGAAAUUUAGCAUAUUUUUCAAAUGUUUAAUAAUACAUGACUAAAAUGGUCACAUGAAGAAACAAACUAAUUUUAUUCUAGAUUGGCGGGCAAGCUCACCUAUGUGUACAACAAAAGUAGUGGUAGAGUAAGCAGUCUUGCUCUUUCUCUACUGUCUUUAAUAGUAGCAGUAAUUAGUACAGUAUGAGACAUUUGGAAAUAUUAGUUAAGGCCUACUUACUGUUGCGUAGAUGUCCUGAUGAUUAGCCUGAAGGAGACGCUUCAAGUUGGUUAUGGUUAGGGUUGCGUAGAUGUCCUGAUGAUUUGCCUGAGGAAGAUGCUUCAAGUUGGUUAGGGUUAGGGUAAUCCUAAACCUAUCCCUAACCCAUAACCCUCUAUCAUGACCUACAUGUCAAAGAAAGGAAAAAUAAAUAUUUCUUAGAAAAGUAAUAAAAUCAUGGAAUUGCCUUAGUUUUGUUUCUUCGUUUGUUAGUGUCAGAAAAAUUGUAUUUAAAUUAUCAAAAAACUUUCCGUUCUGAGUUCUCAAUGAACAGACAAGAAGCAUUCUUUGUUGCACCAAGCCAAACACUUGAAAGAUUCCGCUGUGGACGAUGGAAUGAGACGGGAGGGGUCAUCCAUUGUCCUCGAAAACCUGCCCAAGCUGAAUCCAGGACGAACCUAAGCCCGAGGGAUCUUCUUCUUUUGUCUUCAAUGUGACCGAAAACAAGGACUGUUUACAUACUCCCCAUUCCUGCUGAGACAGGUGUUGUUGCGUAAACAUUGAACAUCUGAAUAAAAGAGGAGACGAAAACCUUCUUCGUCAGAGUGUGGUGCAGGACUGUACAGAGAGUGCAGUGGCCAUGUCCAUCCAUCCAUCCAUUUUCUACCGCUUAUUCCCUUUGGGGUCGCGGGGGGCGCUGGAGCCUAUCUCAGCUACAAUCGGGCGGAAGGCGGGGUACACC